GACGAACGCUGGCGGCGUGCUUAACACAUGCAAGUCGAACGGAAAGGCCCUGCUUUUGUGGGGUGCUCGAGUGGCGAACGGGUGAGUAACACGUGAGUAACCUGCCCUUGACUUUGGGAUAACUUCAGGAAACUGGGGCUAAUACCGGAUAGGAGCUCCUGCUGCAUGGUGUGGGUUGGAAAGUUUCGGCGGUUGGGGAUGGACUCGCGGCUUAUCAGCUUGUUGGUGGGGUAGUGGCUUACCAAGGCUUUGACGGGUAGCCGGCCUGAGAGGGUGACCGGGGACAUUGGGACUGAGGUACGGACCAGACGCGUACGGGAGGCAGCGGUGGGGAGUAUGGCAGAAUGGGCGGAAGCGGGAGGCAGCGACGCCGCGUGCGGGAUGACGGCCUUCGGGUGGUAAACCGAUUUGGCCUGUGACGAAGCGUGCGUGACGGUAAUGGGUAAGGAAGCACCGGCUAACUACGUG
rnacentral:rRNA from 1 species